GUUUACUGGACGGCUCAGCUGUGACUCCACCCGUUUUACCUCCUCGCACCAUGGGACGGACGGGCAAUAGGGGUGGCCCACCGAACAAUCCCAUCGGAGGAAGUACCAACAGUCAAGGACAAGACAUCGAUCAAGAUUUUGAACCGUCGUGUCUUGCCAGAACUCCUUCGGGUUCAUUGUUCAUUCCAGGUGAUUUGCCAAAAUGUUUGGGACCUUCUCAACAAAAAAGUGAUAUACCCCAUCAUCGUUCCCUCCAAGAUGAUAAAAAUAAUCCAGACAGAUGUCACCUGAGUUACACUCCGACAGCCCCCGUGCCUGUAGUACCCGUCCGUAACAAUGUUCGUCGUCCUGUAUCCAAUCAUUUUGCUCACUCCCGUUUUCAAUUCCGAAAGACGAUAUCCUCUCGUUGCAGCUGGAAAUGUGCGGCGAUAGCUUUCAUCUUUGUAUCACUCGCUCUUUUAACGGCUCUUGCCUAUUUUGUAGCUGUAGCAUUCCCUAGUUGGCGGUAUGCUAGCAAACAUCCCUGUCCUGUCGUGGUCGACGACAUAGAAUUAGCCGUAGGUGGAACGGAAGUUAAAAAUCCAUCCUCGCUACCUUCUAAGACGUUUCCACCCAAAAGCGAAUCCUUCUCCGAAGUUCAACUUGGAAGAAGGCACAGUCAGAAGAUUCCAUCUUAUGGCCAUUGGAACAUCCAAUUUCAUCAACGUGACCCGUCUUUAGUCAAAUUUAACUAUACUAUGCCACACGGGGCCAGCGUUGGGGUGUACGGAAAGAGGAACGGUGUACCUACUCAUACGCGUUACGACUUUACAGAAAUCCUAAAUUCCAGGGAUAGGAGCUCUAAGAGAUCUGAAAAGGAUGUUUAUAGUGUACAGUUUAUACAAUUUUUGGAUCGAGGAUUAUGGUAUAUAUCGGUAUACAACGAUGGUGAUCAACAGCAGGAAAUCUCGCUUACUCCUCACCUGACAGACGAAUCCAGUUUGCCUUGUCCUUACGAUUGUCACGGUCACGGAACUUGUGUGAUGGGGAGUUGCGUUUGUAAUCCCGAUUUUGCUGGGGAUUCUUGUGCCUAUAGAGUGUGUCCUAUCCUGUGUAACGGAAGAGGGCAAUAUUUAGCAGGUGAAUGCAUCUGCAGUCCUGGAUGGAAAGGCAAAGACUGUCAAUUGAGGGAGGACGAAUGCGAAAUUCCUGACUGUAGUGGCCAUGGUGAUUGCUUAGAAGGCGUCUGUAGAUGCUUUCCAGGAUAUAAAGGAGUUCACUGCGAAGAAGUGGACUGUUUGGAUCCCGAGUGUUCUGGACACGGGACGUGUGUGCGAAGCAUGUGUGUAUGUAGAAAAGGAUGGAAGGGUGCAGACUGUAGUGAACCAGAUAGCGAUGCUCUCAGAUGUCUACCGGAUUGUAGUGGACACGGUCAGUUCGAUUUAGAGUUACAGAGAUGCAUCUGUGACGAAAGGUGGACGGGUCUAGAUUGCUCUCAAGAAAAGUGCGACUUGGAUUGCGGUCCUCACGGUAGAUGCCAGGGUGGAGAAUGCGUUUGUAUAGAUGGUUGGGAAGGUGCUAAAUGCGACGAAAGGCUGUGCGAUCCGAGAUGUCUGGAACACGGUCAGUGCAGAAAUGGUAGUUGUUUGUGUAUUCAAGGUUGGAACGGUCGACACUGUACUAUAGAGGGUUGCGUACGUAACUGCAAUAACCAUGGCGACUGCAUUCUACUAGAAGAAGAGUGGCAAUGUCAAUGCGAAGUGGACUGGGACGGCAUAGACUGUGGCAUACCUCUAGAGAGAGUAUGUGAUGACAUGCUGGACAAUGAUAACGAUGGUUUAGUCGAUUGUGCCGAUAGUGAAUGCUGCAACGACAAAGCCUGCGAAAACAACCCACUGUGCUUCUCUGCCACAGACCCUCUCGACAUUCUUUUGAGAAAACAACCCCCCGCCGUGACAGCUUCGUUCUUUCAAAGAAUGCAGUUUCUGAUCGAAGAAGAUUCCGUACAGAGUUAUGCCCACAAGAAUGCUUUUAACGACAGUCUGUUUUGGAGUCGUUUUAACUCUAGUCGUGCCUCUGUGAUCCGUGGUGAAGUGGGAAGUCCUUCGGGCAGUGGACUGAUGGGCAUCAGAGUUGGUGUUGCUAGCGAUCCCUUGUUUGGUUUUACUGUCACCAGAGAAACUGGAUGGUUCGACUUGAUGGUAAAUGGAGGCGGUGCAGUUAAACUUCAAUUCCAAAGAGAGCCGUUCACACCACACGAGAGAACGGUAGUCGUGCCUUGGAAUGAAAUCGUCGUCAUUGAUAAAGUCACCAUGAACCUGAAAGAAGAAAAGGUGAUGGAAUUUAAAUCACCAGUUUGUAUGGAACACGAUUACGACGUCAUGAAACCAGUUGUUCUUGCCACCUGGAAGCACGGAUUUCAAGGUGGUUGUCCGGAAAGGAACUCCAUUUUAGCUGAAUCACAAGUCGUACAAGAAAGUCUGGCUAUUCCUGGUACAGAAUUGUACCUAGUUUACCACAGCAGCCGAGUCGGGGGCUAUCUGUCCACCAUUCAACUGCAGCUGACACCAGACGUCAUUCCUCCCACACUGCGGAUGGUACACUUAAGGAUAUCGAUCGAGGGAAUACUUUUCGAAAAAAAAUUCGAAGCCGAUCCAGGUAUCAAGUUCACUUACGCCUGGAAUCGUAGGAACGUCUACAGACAGAAAGUAUACGGAAUUGCCAGUGCUACAGUCCACGUUGGUUAUGAAUACGCAACGUGUCCUCAAAUAAUUUGGGAAGUGCAGACAACGCAAGUUAGUGGACACGAUAUGAGUAUAUCAGAAAUAGGAGGUUGGAAUUUAGACAUACAUCACCGUUACAACUUUCACGAAGGAAUUUUACAAAAAGGAGACGGAAGUAACAUCUAUCUAAAAAAUAAACCUAAAGUUUUGAUCACAACAAUGGGUGACGGGCAACAAAGACCUCUUCAUUGUGCCCAAUGCAACGGGGUGGCUAGUCACCAAAGAUUGUUGGCACCCGUGGCCUUGACUAGUGCUCCGGAUGGUAGCAUCUAUGUGGGGGACUUCAAUCUUAUCAGGAGAAUAAUGCCAGAUGGUCUAGUGACUACCGUUGUAGAACUCAGUGCUGCCCAAGUCGCAUACCGAUAUCACCUGGCAGUGGCACCGUCUACGGGAAAAUUAUACAUUUCUGAUCCAGAAAGGCACCAAAUAUUGCAGGUAGUUGCACUUUCUGAUAUUCCUAAUAUCAAAGACAAUAUUGUGCCUAUCAUUGGAAACGGAGGCAAAUGUCUUCCAGGUGAUAAGUUGCUAUGUGGAGAUGGAAGAGCAGCUAAAGAUGCUAGAUUAGCUUAUCCCAAAGGUAUAGCCAUUUCACCACAGAAUGAGAUAUACAUUGCAGAUGGAACUAAUAUAAGAAUGGUGGACAAGAACGGAAUCAUUCACACUCUGAUAGGCGAUUACUACCACAAAAGCCACUGGAAACCAAUACCUUGUGGAAGAACCGUUACUCUAUCUCAAGUAAAUCUUCGAUGGCCAACCGAACUGGCUAUAAAUCCUUUAGAUGGUUCUCUUCAUAUCUUGGACGAUCACAUGAUUUUGAAAGUGACACAGGAUAAGAGGCUAAAGGUCGUAGCCGGAAGACCAUUGCAGUGUCCCUCUCUUGCACCCAGUCGUGAUAAAAGUGAUCUAGCCACGGAAAUAUAUCUAGAAUCACCUCAAGCUUUAGCUUUUGCACCCAACGGAGAUCUGUACUUAGCAGAAAGUGAUUCUCAAAUGGUAAAUCGAGUUAGAGUCAUAGGUAGUGACGGAAAGAUUUCUAAAUUCGCUGGAGCAGAAUCGAAAUGUAGCUGUUUGGACAUCAAUUGCAAAUGUUUCGAAGAAGAUCACUUUCUGGCUGCCACUUCCAAAUUAAACACCAUCUCUUCCAUAACCGUAACAGCUGAUGGAUUGUUACACAUAUGUGAUCAGGGAAAUCUACGCAUUAGAUCCGUAACAGCUUCCCUCCCACAACCCAACGAGUCGAACGAAUUCGAGAUUUAUGCACCCGAAACCCAAGAAGUAUACAUCUUCAAUCGACACGGCCAACACAUAUCCACCAAGAAUAUUCUCACGGGGAAAGUCACCUAUACAUUCUUCUAUAACGUCAACACCAGUUUUGGAAAAUUAAGCACAGUCACUGAUGCGGCCGGAAACAAAAUCUAUAUCCUUCGCGAUUAUAGCAACCAGGUAAACACUAUAGAGAACACUCAAGGUGGAAAAUGUCGACUGGAGAUGUCGAGGAUGAGGAUGCUUCAGAGCUUCACUACACCGUACAAUUUCAAGACGAUAUUUGAUUAUCACGGUAGUACGGGAUUAUUAAGAAGCAAGAUCGACAGCUCUGGAAAAGCUUAUAUGUACAGUUACGACGAAUACGGUCGAUUGAUAGAAGCUGUAUCGCCCAGUGGACAGACAAUUAGACUAGGUUACAAUCUGAGUAUCAAAGGAGCAUCUAUAACAGCUUCGAGAGAUACCAGCAACCCUGUAUCACUUCUGAUUAAAGGAUCGGACGUUACGACGAAAAUAGGUCAAGCCGAAGAGAGAAUCACACAAUAUCCAGAUGGAAGUCUUAUUGUUGCUCAUCAAGAUUCGACAAUCAUGGAAAUAGAGACGGUUCCUAGUCCAGUUUUAGCAGAUUUAAGUCCAUUAGUUGGCGAAAUCUAUCCGGUUCCUGCCAAACUUAAAGCCACUCUAAGCGAAGAUUCCGUGAGAAGAUUCGAAUGGCGUUACUACUUAAGGAAAGAAGGAAAAGGAAAAAAUCGACAGAUAACUCAAGUAGGAAGGAAAAUGAAGGUAAACGGGGAGAUUCUAAUAAUGGUAGAGUUCGAUCGCAACAAACAUUUCGAGACUGUUUACGAUAAGAACCAGAUACCUUUAGUGUCCAUACACUACGACCCUCAGGGUCAUCAUCCCAUACAAUGGCAACCGAGUCAGAACGUAACGGGAGUCAAGUUAGAAUACGAUAAAUUCGGUCGUUUGGCCAGGUGGGAGAGAGGAGCACUUUUCGAACGUUACCUGUUCGACAUUCAAGGUAGAUUGGCGGAAAUUAGGUAUUCUGACGAAACGGGAAUCAUGUACAAGUAUGAAGAGGGACCCAUCAAUCUGCCCUCGGAAAUUAUACUUCCGAGCGGGAGCAGGUAUGUUCUUCAGUAUGACACCAGUGGAAGUCUUCAAGCUGUCAUAACACCUAAUGGACAUAAACAUGAAAUUGCAACUCAGACGUCCAUAGGAUUCUAUAAACUUCUGUACCUAUCUCCGGGAGUUAAACAUCCUUACGUCUUGCAAUACAACGAUCAAGGCCAAAUUUUGGCAAAAUUGUAUCCGAAGAACAGAGGGAGGGUUGUGUAUCACUAUAACGACGACAGCCGUUUGCAGACCGUGUUCUGUGGCGAAGAGAGGACAGAUUACCAUUAUUACGAGCAGAGUGCAUUGCUGAAGAGUGUUUCUAGAAGUGUACCAGAUCUAGAUACCAGAGUGGAUUAUAGAUACCACGGUUCACUACUGAAGGAAGAGAAACUCAGGUAUAACAGCAGGAGCGGUUUAGAUGGUGCAAAAUUUAGAUACAGGUACGAAAGUAAAUUAACCACAGUCGAAGUUGAGGUGAAUGGAAAGUCCACUAUGGAAACUAGAUAUAGAUACAACACAGAAACUGCUGUAUUAGAACAAGUGCAACAGUUCCUAGUUCAUAGACCAAAAAUUAAUAGCAUCUUCAUCCAGGAUGACAUGAGACAUUAUUCCAAAACCAUAGGUUUGGAUGUUUAUGGAAGAAUCGUUGUUUUGGCAGUUACAUUAUGGAAUAAGGAGAUAUUUUCUCUAUCCCUAACCUACGAUAGCAGGAGUAGAAUUAAACAAUCUCAAACUAAAAUAGGCAGAGACGGUGGCUCGGUUCUUACUAAUUAUACUUACACAGUAGAUGGAUUUUUGGAAGAGGUGAAUAAUAAUGACGUCUGGAAAUUUAUUUACGACAUUAAUGGUAACAUGAAGAGUGUUUGGGAAGGGAAGAGGCAGGUGUCUUUAAGAUACGACGAUGGGGAUAGGUUAAUAGGUUACGGUGAUGUGGAAUUAUACGUUGCAGAUGUUCGCGGUUUCGUAGUACAACGUGGAGAAGAAAAGUUUCGUUUCAACGCUAAAGGGCAACUUACACACGCUUUCGAACUGCAUCAAUACGAAGUUCACUAUUAUUACGACACUUCGGAACGUCUGUCGGCUCGUCGAGAUCAUAGAGGAAACAUAACUCAGUUCUUCUAUACUGAUCCCAAGCAUCCCGCUCACGUAACUCACAUACACUAUCCCAAGAAUGGAAUCACUUUUGUGCUAAUUUACGACACCAAUUCCCAUCUGAUGUACAUGCAGCAAGGAAACAACAAAUAUUACGUAGCCAGCGACCAUCUCGGAACACCUUUAGCCGUAUUCAAUUCUGAAGGAAAGUUGGUGAAGAAGGUAUUCAGAACCCCAUUCGGGAAGGUGAUUUCCGACUCCAAUCCAGACUUCGCCCUCCCUGUGGAUUUUCAAGGUGGUCUCCGCGAUCCUCUGACUCAACUAGUUCAUUACGGAAGUCGUGUUUACGACCCUCUUUGCGCUCAAUGGUUGACCCCCAAUUGGGAAGAAGUUCCUCAACUUCUGAAGAAGCCUUAUAACAUUCAUCUUUAUCGUUUUCAUGGUAAUGACCCUAUUAAUCAAGCCAACACGGAACGUCAUCUGACAGAACUUCACGAAUGGUUAUCGACGUUUGGCUUCGAUAUUUCUAAAAUGCUUCACAUACCGAGUCAAAGUGAUAAGUUGAGGAGUGUGACGAUGAGCGAAAGCCUCCCUGUUAUAUCCGGUCUCAGCUGUACGGCGGAUGUACUUCGUGCAGAAUUUGGUCAAUUUAGCACCGUCCCUAGGAAAGGAACCAAAGUUUACUCCAGUCUUUUGCCUAGUAUCAAUUCCCGAAUAGCAAAUCUCCUAUCUGUAGUCGGGGAUGGUGUACUUAUAUCUAAAAAUAGGAACAAAGCAAUCGUUCACGUGGUCAACGAAGCCAGUCCCAUCCUUCGUGACGUUAUCACUUCGGUGUUCAACGAUACUUCUAUGGUGAAUCUAUACUUUUCUCUACACGGCCAGGAUUCGUUUUAUUUUGUUCAAGAAAACAGGAAUAAGGUACAAGAAGAUUGGGACCAAUUGCAACGUUUGGGUACCAUGUUCAACGUCACCAUGCAUCCAGUCGACGGAAGCGAAGCGGUGUCUAGCAAAAUGGGUCAAGUAGACUUAAGAGUGCAUAGCACCAGCGUGAUACUUAACAUUCGUUACGGGACAACACUAAACGACGAGAGGCAACGUCUCAUACGUCACGCAAGAAGAAAAGCCGUAGAAGAAGCGUGGCAGCAAGAAGUGGAGUUGGUGAGGAAUGGUCAUCGAGGUUCUCAAGAAUGGAGCAAACAAGAGCGUGACGAACUUCUCGCAUCGGGUUUGGUAUCGAGAUACUACGGAACUGACAUACAAGAUAUAGAAAAGUAUCCACAGUUAGCAGAUGAUCCAACAAACGUGGUCUUCAGGAGGGAGAGUACGAGAAAAAGAAGAGUCAGAUCGAGAAGACCCAAAUAGGAAUCUGUCCAUCUUGAUUUCCAGAAGGAAAAAAGCAGCCUCUACUAAAUCAAACUAAGGUUCUCCAUAAUGUUGAGAGAUCGUCUGUGAUUCUAUAUAUAUGUAUAUAUAUAUAGAUAUAUAUAUAAAGCAACACUAUUGAGUGUUAUCACGUACCAAAGAACUGGUGGCCAAUUUUAAACUGCAGGGUAUAAAAAUUUCGAAACGUAAUGCGUUGCAUUGCGACCCAUUCAAGUGCAAUGAAGACUCUCUCGAUCGAGUGUUGCGGUGUAGACUUAAAUAAACCGCAACACCGUGUAUGGUUGUGUGUGAUAUGUACUGUUUGCUGCUUCCAAACAACAACAACAACAACAACAACAACAACAGCAACAAACUGUAUUAUAUAUAUUCCAUGCCUUGGCAGCAAUUUGUUUUUAGAAGCUAUUUCCAAAUUUUGUUGGCUUCGUCUCGAUCGUGUUGGGUUCUUUUUUUGUGUUCUUUGUAUUGUUGUAAGUGUCUCAACAAUUCCAAAAGAUACAUUCGUACGAAUUAUCAUGCACAGGAAGAUGAAGAAGUAAUGAAAAAAAUUAACGAUGA
rnacentral:misc_RNA from 1 species